rnacentral:rRNA from 1 species
CAGCAGCCGCGGGAAUACGGAGGGUGCAAGCGUUAAUCGGAAUUACUGGGCGUAAAGCGUGCGUAGGCGGUUCUUUAAGUCUGUUGUGAAAGCCCCGGGCUCAACCUGGGAAUGGCAAUGGAUACUGGCGAGCUAGAGUGUGUCAGAGGAUGGUGGAAUUCCCGGUGUAGCGGUGAAAUGCGUAGAGAUCGGGAGGAACAUCAGUGGCGAAGGCGGCCAUCUGGGACAACACUGACGCUGAGGCACGAAAGCGUGGGGAGCAAACAGGAUUAGAUACCCCCGUAGUCCCUGUCUCUUAUAC